AGCUGCUAGGUUGGUGAACACAUGGAGGUGCGGGGAGGGUGGCGAGCCCAGCGAGGACGUGGAUUCCCCACGGCCCUUCCCACAUACCCCGUUCUUUCAUUUGGCUGUUUCUGAGUUGUGUGCUUUAUAAUCAACUGACAAUGGAAGUCAAGGCAAGAGGAUUGCUUGAGCUGAGGAGUUUGAGACCAGCCUGGGCGAGAUGGUCCUAUGUCCCUUCCUCUUAAAUUUGGGCAGAAUUUGUGACUUCUUUGUCCAACAAAAUAUCGCAGAAGUGAUGCUGUACCAGACUGAAAAAGAGUGGCAGUUUCUAGCUGUGGUAUCUUGGAUCCAAAGAAUCAAUGACCCCAUACAACAGACCCAGUAGAGUUCCCAGGAAACAGCCAGCACCAGCCAUGUUGGUAAGAUAUCUUGAAAAUAGAUACUUCAGCCCACUUGAGCCACCACAGCUCACACCACCUGGAGCACAGUCAAGCCUUUUCUGCUGAGCCCUGCCCAAACUGCAGAUUUGUGAACCAAAUAAAUAAUUGCAAUUGUUUUAAGCCA
rnacentral:lncRNA from 1 species